GGUGAGUAACGCGUAAGUAACCUACCCUGACACACGGGAUAGUCUGUCGAAAGACAGGGUAAUACCGUAUAUAUUCUUCGAACCGCAUGGUUUGAUGAGGAAAGAUGGGGAUCCUUCGGGACCUAUCGUGUAAGGAGGGGCUUGCGUCCCAUCAGCUUGUUGGUGUGGUAACGGCGCACCAAGGCGUAUGACGGGUAGCUGGUUUGAGAGGAUGACCAGUCACACUGGGACUGAGACACUGCCCAGACUCCUACGGGAGGCUGCAGUCGAGAAUAUUUGGCAAUGGGCGAAAGCCUGACCAUGCGACGCCGCGUGCAGGACGACGGCCUUCGGGUUGUAAACUGCUGUUACAGGGGAAGAAGAUUGUGAGUGCAAAUAGUGCUUGUGGUUUGACGGUACCCUGAGAGAAAGCCACGGCUAACUCCGUGCCAGCAGCCGCGGUAAUACGGAGGUGGCAAGCGUUGCUCGGAUUUACUGGGUGUAAAGAGUUCGUAGGCGGUUCUAAAAGCUUGGCUUUAAAGGCCGUGGCUUAACCAUGGUUUGAGUCGAGAACUGUAGAACUAGAGGAUGACAGAGGUAAGCGGAAUUCCCGGUGUAAGGGUGAAAUCUGUAGAUAUCGGGAGGAACACCAGUGGCGUAGGCGGCUUACUG
rnacentral:rRNA from 1 species